rnacentral:rRNA from 1 species
GCCCUUUUACGGGUUGUGAGAGCAAGAGCCCGGAGAUGGAACCUGAGACAAGGUUCCAGACCCUACGGGGUGCAGCAGGCGCGAAACCUCCGCAAUGUACGAAAGUGCUACGGGGGAAUCCCAAGUGUUAUUCUUAACAGGAUAACUUUUCAUUAGUGUAAAAAGCUUUUAGAAUAAGAGCUGGGCAAGACCGGUGCCAGCCGCCGCGGUAAUACCGGCAGCUCGAGUGGUAGCUGUUUUUAUUGGGCCUGAAGCGUUCGUAGCCGGUUUGAUAAGUCACUGGUGAAAUCCUGUAGCUUAACUGUGGGAAUUGCUGGUGAUACUGUUGAACUUGAGGUCGGGAGAGGUUAGCGGUACUCCCAGGGUAGAGGUGAAAUUCUGUAAUCCUGGGAGGACCACCUGUGGCGAAGGCGGCUAACUGGAACGAACCUGACGGUGAGGGACGAAAGCUAGGGGCGCGAACCGGAUUAGAUACCCGGGUAGUCCUAGCCGUAAACGAUGCGGACUUGGUGUUGGGAUGGCUUUGAGCCGCUCCAGUGCCGAAGGGAAGCUGUUAAGUCCGCCGCCUGGGAAGUACGGUCGCAAGACUGAAACUUAAAGGAAUUGGCGGGGGAGCAAAGGGC